GGCCCGGUAGCUCAGUGGUAGAGCGCAGCCCUGAAGAGGCUGGCGUCGUCAGUUCGAUUCUGACCUGGGCCACCA
rnacentral:tRNA from 1 species